rnacentral:RNase_P_RNA from 1 species
AAAGUUUAUUAGAUGUUUGCUUAUAUAAUAUAUAAGAGGAAAGUCUGGACUCAUUUAUAAGAGUGCAAGAUAAAUUCUUGCAGAGAAGACUCUAGGGAAAGUGUUUUAGAAAAAAUAAAUAUUCUUUCUUUUUAUGAUUGAAUAUUUUUGAAAUGGUUUAUCCUAUUAUUUAAAUAAUUAAAUAUUAUAAAAACCCCACUUUGAGCAAAGUCAUAUGGCUGCUAAAGACAUAUACGUAAGAUAUUGUCGUAGAUAAAUAAACAUCCAUAAAAAAUUAUUUUUAUGACAGAAUCCAGCUUAUAGAUAAACUUU